UAGGGAACCUUCCACAAUGGACGAAAGUCUGAUGGAGCAACGCCGCGUGAGUGAUGAAGGGUUUCGGCUCGUAAAACUCUGUUGUUGGAGAAGAACGGGUGUCAGAGUAACUGUUGACAUCGUGACGGUAUCCAACCAGAAAGCCACGGCUAACUACGUGCCAGCAGCCGCGGUAAUACGUAGGUGGCAAGCGUUGUCCGGAUUUAUUGGGCGUAAAGCGAGCGCAGGCGGUUUUUUAGGUCUGAUGUGAAAGCCUUCGGCUUAACCGGAGAAGUGCAUCGGAAACCGGGAGACUUGAGUGCAGAAGAGGACAGUGGAACUCCAUGUGUAGCGGUGAAAUGCGUAGAUAUAUGGAAGAACACCAGCGGCGAAGGCGGCUGUCUGGUCUGCAACUGACGCUGAGGCUCGAAAGCAUGGGUAGCGAACAGGAUUAGAUACCCUGGUAGUCCAUGCCGUAAACGAUGAGUGCUAAGUGUUGGAGGGUUUCCGCCCUUCAGUGC
rnacentral:rRNA from 1 species